rnacentral:tRNA from 1 species
GGGGAUGUAGCCCAGUGAUAGAGCACUUGCCUAGUUUGUUCAAGGCCCUGGGUUCAAUCCCUAGCACCCCUC